rnacentral:rRNA from 1 species
AUACGUAGGGGGCGAGCGUUGUCCGGAAUGAUUGGGCGUAAAGGGCGCGUAGGCGGCCCGGUAAGUCUGGAGUGAAAGUCCUGUUUUUAAGAUGGGAAUUGCUUUGGAUACUGUCGGGCUUGAGUGCAGGAGAGGUAAGUGGAAUUCCCAGUGUAGCGGUGAAAUGCGUAGAGAUUGGGAGGAACACCAGUGGCGAAGGCGACUUACCGGACUGUAACGGACGCUGAGGCGCGAAAGUGUGGGGAGCAAACAGGAUUAGAUACCCUGGUAGUCCACACUGUAAACGAUGAAUGCUAGUUGUAGGGGGUAUCGACCCCUUCUGUGCCGCAGUCAACACAAUAAGCAUUCCGCCUGGGGAGUACGGCCGCAAGGUUGAAACUCAAAUGAAUUGGCGGGG